CGAACAGAACUAUGUCUGUAAGUGGCAUACUGCUCAGUAACACGUAGCUAACCUAACCUUAGGACGUCGAUAACCCCGAGAAAUUGGGGCUAAUAAGCGAUAGAUGUAAUGUCCUGGAAUGGUAUUACGUCCAAAAGUAUCUCAUACACGUUUGAGUUACGCCUAAGGAUGGGGCUGCGGCCGAUCAGGCAGUUGGUGAGGUAAUGGCUCACCAAACCUUUGACCGGUACGGGCCAUGAGAGUGGUAGCCCGGAGAUGGACACUGAGACAAGGGUCCAGGCCCUACGGGGCGCAGCAGGCGCGAAACCUCCUCAAUGCACUAACGUGCGAAGGGGUUACCUCGAGUGCUACCUGAAGAAGGUGGCUUUUCCUUGGUCUAAAAAGCCUCGGGGAUAAGAGGGGGGCAAGACUGGUGUCAGCCGCCGCGGUAACACCAGCCCCUCGAGUGGUGGGGAUGAUUAUUUGGCCUAAAGCGUCCGUAGCCGGCCGGGUAAGUUUCCCGUUAAAUCCAGCGUCUCAAGCGUUGGGCUGCGGGAAAUACUGUCCGGCUAGAGAGUGGGAGAGGUGUACGGUAUUCUGGGGGUAGGGGCGAAAUCCUUUGAUCCCCGGAGGACCACCAGUGGCGAAGGCUGUACACUAGAACACGUCUGACGGUCAGGGACGAAAGCUGGGGUAGCGAACCGGAUUAGAUACCCGGGUAGUCCCAGCUGUAAACGAUGCAUGCUAGGUGUUGGGUUGGCCACGAGCCACCCCAGUGCCGCAGGGAAGCCGUUAAGCAUGCCGCCUGGGAAGUACGAUCGCAAGAUUGAAACUUAAAGGAAUUGGCGGGGGAGCACCACCAGGCGUGAAGCCUGCGGUUUAAUUGGAGUCAACGCCAGAA
rnacentral:rRNA from 1 species